UGGCGGCAGGCCUAACACAUGCAAGUCGAGCGGUAACAUUUCUAGCUUGCUAGAAGAUGACGAGCGGCGGACGGGUGAGUAACGCGUAGAAAUUUACCUAGUAGUGGGGGAUAGCCCAGAGAAAUUUGGAUUAAUGCCGCAUACGCCCUACGGGGGAAAGCGGGGGAUCUUCGGACCUCGUGCUAUUAGAUGAGUCUGCGUCGGAUUAGCUUGUUGGUGAGGUAAUGGCUCACCAAGGCGACGAUCCGUAGCUGGUCUGAGAGGAUGACCAGCCACACUGGAACUGAGACACGGUCCAGACUCCUACGGGAGGCAGCAGUGGGGAAUAUUGCACAAUGGGCGCAAGCCUGAUGCAGCCAUGCCGCGUGUGUGAAGAAGGCCUUAGGGUUGUAAAGCACUUUCAGCAGUGAGGAAAGGGGUGUCGUUAAUAGCGCCAUCCUGUGACGUUAACUGCAGAAGAAGGACCGGCUAACUCCGUG
rnacentral:rRNA from 1 species